UCAAGAAACUUCCACAAUGGGCGAAAGCCUGAUGGAGCGACGUCGCGUGAUGGACGAAGUGCUUCGGCACGUAAACAUCUUUUAUGUGGGAUGAAAUUAUUGACAGUACCACAUGAAUAAGGGGCUCCUAACUCUGUGCCAGCAGGAGCGGUAAUACAGAGGCCCCAAGCAUUAUCCGGAAUCACUGGGCGUAAAGGGUGUCGAGGCGGUCGUAUUAGUCGUUUGUAAAAUCCGUGGGCUCAACCUACGGCGCGCAAGCGAAACGGUACGACUUGAGGUUUGGAGAGGUGCGUGGAACUCACGGUGUAGGGGUGAAAUCCGUUGAUAUCGUGGGGAACACCAAAGGCGAAGGCAGCGCACUGGCCAAAAUCUGACGCUCACACACGAAAGCUAGGGUAGCGAAGAGGAUUAGAUACCCUGGUAGUCCCUGAGCGGGCUGGCAAGGCGCAU
rnacentral:rRNA from 1 species